GGAUGUGCUCAUACCAACUUAUACACCAGAUCCCAUAAGAACUUUGCAGUGAAGCGUGCUUGAAUGAGAAUAGUACUAAGUUGGAUAACUACUUGGAAAGUCUUUGUAUUGCACCAU
rnacentral:rRNA from 2 species